rnacentral:rRNA from 1 species
UACGUAGGGUGCAAGCGUUGUCCGGAAUUAUUGGGCGUAAAGAGCUCGUAGGCGGUCUGUCGCGUCGGUCGUGAAAACUUGGGGCUUAACCCUGAGCUUGCGGUCGAUACGGGCAUGACUGGAGUUCGGUAGGGGAGACUGGAAUUCCUGGUGUAGCGGUGAAAUGCGCAGAUAUCGGGAGGAACACCGGUGGCGAAGGCGGUUCUCUGGGCCUGUACUGACGCUGAGGAGCGAAAGCGUGGGGAGCGAACAGG